UACGUAGGGUGCGAGCGUUAAUCGGAAUUACUGGGCGUAAAGCGUGCGCAGGCGGUAAUGUAAGACAGGUGUGAAAUCCCCGGGCUUAACCUGGGAACUGCAUUUGUGACUGCAUCGCUGGAGUACGGCAGAGGGGGAUGGAAUUCCGCGUGUAGCAGUGAAAUGCGUAGAUAUGCGGAGGAACACCGAUGGCGAAGGCAAUCCCCUGGGCCUGUACUGACGCUCAUGCACGAAAGCGUGGGGAGCAAACAGG
rnacentral:rRNA from 1 species